rnacentral:rRNA from 1 species
AAAUUGAAGAGUUUGAUCAUGGCUCAGAUUGAACGCUGGCGGCAGGCCUAACACAUGCAAGUCGAACGGUAACAGGAAGCAGCUUGCUGCUUCGCUGACGAGUGGCGGACGGGUGAGUAAUGUCUGGGAAACUGCCUGAUGGAGGGGGAUAACUACUGGAAACGGUGGCUAAUACCGCAUAACGUCGCAAGACCAAAGAGGGGGACCUUCGGGCCUCUUGCCAUCAGAUGUGCCCAGAUGGGAUUAGCUAGUUGGUGAGGUAAUGGCUCACCAAGGCGACGAUCCCUAGCUGGUCUGAGAGGAUGACCAGCCACACUGGAACUGAGACACGGUCCAGACUCCUACGGGAGGCAGCAGUGGGGAAUAUUGCACAAUGGGCGCAAGCCUGAUGCAGCCAUGCCGCGUGUAUGAAGAAGGCCUUCGGGUUGUAAAGUACUUUCAGCGGGGAGGAAGGUGUUGCGGUUAAUAACCGCAGCAAUUGACGUUACCCGCAGAAGAAGCACCGGCUAACUCCGUGCCAGCAGCCGCGGUAAUACGGAGGGUGCAAGCGUUAAUCGGAAUUACUGGGCGUAAAGCGCACGCAGGCGGUCUGUCAAGUCGGAUGUGAAAUCCCCGGGCUCAACCUGGGAACUGCAUUCGAAACUGGCAGGCUUGAGUCUUGUAGAGGGGGGUAGAAUUCCAGGUGUAGCGGUGAAAUGCGUAGAGAUCUGGAGGAAUACCGGUGGCGAAGGCGGCCCCCUGGACAAAGACUGACGCUCAGGUGCGAAAGCGUGGGGAGCAAACAGGAUUAGAUACCCUGGUAGUCCACGCCGUAAACGAUGUCUACUUGGAGGUUGUGCCCUUGAGGCGUGGCUUCCGGAGCUAACGCGUUAAGUAGACCGCCUGGGGAGUACGGCCGCAAGGUUAAAACUCAAAUGAAUUGACGGGGGCCCGCACAAGCGGUGGAGCAUGUGGUUUAAUUCGAUGCAACGCGAAGAACCUUACCUGGUCUUGACAUCCACGGAAGUUUUCAGAGAUGAGAAUGUGCCUUCGGGAACCGUGAGACAGGUGCUGCAUGGCUGUCGUCAGCUCGUGUUGUGAAAUGUUGGGUUAAGUCCCGCAACGAGCGCAACCCUUAUCCUUUGUUGCCAGCGGUUAGGCCGGGAACUCAAAGGAGACUGCCAGUGAUAAACUGGAGGAAGGUGGGGAUGACGUCAAGUCAUCAUGGCCCUUACGACCAGGGCUACACACGUGCUACAAUGGCGCAUACAAAGAGAAGCGACCUCGCGAGAGCAAGCGGACCUCAUAAAGUGCGUCGUAGUCCGGAUUGGAGUCUGCAACUCGACUCCAUGAAGUCGGAAUCGCUAGUAAUCGUGGAUCAGAAUGCCACGGUGAAUACGUUCCCGGGCCUUGUACACACCGCCCGUCACACCAUGGGAGUGGGUUGCAAAAGAAGUAGGUAGCUUAACCUCCGGGAGGGCGCUUACCACUUUGUGAUUCAUGACUGGGGUGAAGUCGUAACAAGGUAACCGUAGGGGAACCUGCGGUUGGAUCACCUCCUUACCUGAAAGAAGC